UAAUAUCUGAAAUGCUAUUUUGACAGGAACAUGGAAUUUUUUGACUAUUUCCGUGUCGUAGAUCUUCCAGAAAGUCUGCCUUAAGUUUGACAGGACUCAACUGGACAAUCUAAAAAUAACUGGCAAUAUCCUAAGGAAUCUGAAGAGUUAAAAGGAAAACAUUCAACAUAUAAGACCUUGAUUUUUCAAGCAGUCGACAAAACGUUCCCACAUUCCUCCAGUCCUCGUGAUUGGGGCAGAUAAUUCCUGUCUGUUGAUGAUGGUCAUCAAGAAACGUUCAAGGUACAUCAAAAGUUCUUGUCGGAAUGAUUUCCACUGGGAUGACUACAAAAGACACAACAUAUGAUUUAAAAAAAAUUUUAUUUUUAAAUAUC